rnacentral:misc_RNA from 1 species
GAUGAAGAACGCAGCGAAAUGCGAUACGUAAUGUGAAUUGCAAAUUCAGUGAAUCAUCGAGUCUUUGAACGCACAUUGCGCCCCCUGGUAUUCCGGGGGGCAUGCCUGUCCGAGCGUCAUUGCUGCCCUCAAGCACGGCUUGUGUGUUGGGCCCCGUCCUCCGAUCCCGGGGGACGGGCCCGAAAGGCAGCGGCGGCACCGCGUCCGGUCCUCGAGCGUAUGGGGCUUUGUCACCCGCUCUGUAGGCCCGGCCGGCGCUUGCCGAUCAACCCAAAUUUUUAUCCAGGUUGACCUCGGAUCAGGUAGGAAUACCCGCUGAACUUAAGCAUAUCAAUAAGCGGAGGA